rnacentral:ncRNA from 1 species
CGGUAAUAGAGUUGCAGGGUGGUGUCUCCUGCGCCCGUCAGAUGACGGGUUCUUCCCAGCCACGG